GGCGCGGUAGCUCAGGUGGUUAGAGCGUUGGAUUCAUAACCCAAAGGUCGGGGGUUCAACUCUCCCCCGCGCUACAA
rnacentral:tRNA from 1 species